AGCGAACGCUGGCGGCAGGCUUAACACAUGCAAGCCGAGCGGGUGUAGCAAUACAUCAGCGGCAGACGGGUGAGUAACGCGUGGGAACGUACCUUUUGGUUCGGAACAACACAGGGAAACUUGUGCUAAUACCGGAUAAGCCCUUACGGGGAAAGAUUUAUCGCCGAAAGAUCGGCCCGCGUCUGAUUAGCUAGUUGGUGAGGUAAUGGCUCACCAAGGCGACGAUCAGUAGCUGGUCUGAGAGGAUGAUCAGCCACAUUGGGACUGAGACACGGCCCAAACUCCUACGGGAGGCAGCAGUGGGGAAUAUUGGACAAUGGGCGCAAGCCUGAUCCAGCCAUGCCGCGUGAGUGAUGAAGGCCCUAGGGUUGUAAAGCUCUUUUGUGCGGGAAGAUAAUGACGGUACCGCAAGAAUAAGCCCCGGCUAACUUCGUGCCAGCCGCCGCAGUAAGAC
rnacentral:rRNA from 1 species